rnacentral:lncRNA from 1 species
GCACGUCACCCUGUCCGUCGCCGUGUCGGCGCACCGGCGCAUGUUCCCGUCCCUCGCCGCCCCCGACGAGGAGGUCCACGACGCCGACGCCGGCGGCGGCGGGAUCUCCUACGUCCCGUACUCCGACGGCUACGACGAAGGGUUCCGGCUGUUCGCCAGCGACGGCGAGGCGGCGUGGCGGCACUCGGAGACGUUCGGGCGCGUCGGCCGCGAGGCGUUCGCCGGCGUGGUGGACCGCCUCGCCGCGCGCGGCCGCCCCGCGACGUGCGUCGUGUACGCGUUCCUGAUGUGGUGGGCGGCCGACGUCGCGCGCGAGCGCGGCAUCCCGCGGGUGCUCUACUGGAUCCA